rnacentral:tRNA from 1 species
GGUUCCGUAGUGUAGUGGAUAUCACGUUCGCUUCACACGCGAAAGGUCACCGGUUCGAUCCCGGACGUUACCA